rnacentral:rRNA from 1 species
GACGAACGCUGGCGGCGUGCUUAACACAUGCAAGUCGAGCGGUAAGGCCCUUUCGGGGGUACACGAGCGGCGAACGGGUGAGUAACACGUGGGUGACCUGCCCUCAGCUCUGGGAUAAGCCUGGGAAACCGGGUCUAAUACCGGAUAUGACUCCAUGACGCAUGUUGUGGGGUGGAAAGCCUUGUGCGGCUGAGGAUGGGCCCGCGGCCUAUCAGCUUGUUGGUGGGGUGANGGCCUACCAAGGCGACGACGGGUAGCCGGCCUGAGAGGGCGACCGGCCACACUGGGACUGAGACACGGCCCAGACUCCUACGGGAGGCAGCAGUGGGGAAUCUUGGCGCAAUGGGCGAAAGCCUGACGCAGC